rnacentral:miRNA from 1 species
UUCAACCCAGGGCUGAGUUCAACCCCGGGGUUGAAAUUUCAACCCUGCUAGCUGAAGCAGGGUUGAAAUUUCAACCCUGGGGUUGAUCUCAGCCCUGGGUUGAAAAUUUUGUCAU